rnacentral:lncRNA from 1 species
CCUUACAAAUACAAAUCCCCGCCGCCACCAACCACCACCCGGUGCACUACACACCAAAACAUCAACCUUUCAAAUCAAGUCCCCACCGCCGCCCACCGCCACCCGUGCACUACUCACCACCGCAUCACCCUUACAAGUACAAGUCCCCACCGCCACCACCACCGCCACCCGUGCACUACUCACCACCGCAUCACCCUUACAAGUACAAGUCCCCACCGCCACCACCACCUGCCACCCGUGCCCUACUCACCCCACCAAUCACCCUUACAAUACAGUCCCCCUCCGCGCAGCCACCACCACCAGUGCACUACCCACCAACCGCACUACCCACCACCACAUCACCCUUACCAAUACAAAAUCCCACCGCCACACCACACCCCACCACCAACCAGUGCACUACCCACCACCACAUCACCUUACAAAUACAAAUCCCCACCGCCACCACACACCACCAGUGCACAUACCCACCACCGCACACCCACCACCACAUCACCCUACAAUACAAAUCCCCACCGCCACCGACACCACCACCAUCACCACCACCACACCACCACCAGUGCAACUACCCACCGCCCGCUUUAUCACCAUACAAAAUAAAAUCCCCACCACCACCACCACCACCGCACUACCCACCACCACAUCAACCCUUACAAAUACAAAUCCCCACCGCCACCACCGCCACCUCAUCAUUACUUAUACACUUCACCUCCUCCUCCCCACCACUACUAAUGAAUGGCUUUGAUAGGUUUGAGGUAAGCUAAAGCUUUAACUUAAAAGGCUCUAUUUUGACCCCAAAAAAAUGGUUGAAGAAAAAAUUCAACAGAGUGAUGUGGUGAUAUUACGUUUGUAAACAAAGCAAUCUUAAAGUUGUUGUUUUUUUCUGCAGGAAAUAGAGAGAUUAAAAUAAAGAACAUUGGUGUUGCAGAGCUUUUAAGAAAGAGCAUGAAAGCAACCACAAGAGGAAGAAGAAGAAGAAUGAGCCAAGAAGAAAAGAAAGGAAGUGUUCAGUAGUAUGAUGUAUUUUGAUAUAUUGUUUGUGUACUGAAUUGGUCGUGCAAGUCUUUGUGUUAGACCGAUUCGCUUGUGUUUUGACCUCUUGACAAGUGCAAAGGUCAUUUGUGUAAUUCAAUAAAUGAAUUUCUCAAAUUUUCUACUGUGACAGGCUUAAUA